GGACUUGGCGUCCGUCCAGUUACUUGGGGCUCCCGCGGGGUGGUCCCCUGUGGGUCCCUCGUGCCUGCGGUACCAAGGGCAACGCCAACAAAACGCCUGGCCGCAUGCGCCUGUAGCCAGCUAUUUUUCUUUGGCCUUAUUUUGACCGAUUUACAGCUGCUGGAAUCCUGAUGUGGAACCUCCGACUUCCCAACGGAAGAGGAAAGGCCCAGUACCUAAAACUGAUUUAUGGACAGAAACUCCCGAAGCAUGAGAAGCGUGUGGCCUCUCCGCCCUCUCCUUGCAGGGCGGGCAGCGCUGGCAUCCAGGUCGUGCGCUGCCUUCAUUUCAGCCACUUCACAUUCUCAGCCUUUCAAACACCACCCGUCUCCCUCCUUUCCAAAAUAAAACUGAAAUUAGAUUUUAUUAAUUAGGAAAUGACGUCCCAAUUAAACCACCUUGUGUUUCACAUAACACAUUUCUAAACAACUUUUAAAAUAUUUGGUGUUUAAACAAAGGAAAAACAUCUAAGGUGACACAGCGAUGAAGGGAGAACCUCCGCUUGGAGGCUGCUACAUGUUACAGCCGCAAGACAUCCGACCCGCACUGUGGAAUCUUUCUCUGUCUUACUUAAACAGGAGUUGGGACUAAGGAAAGUGUUAUUCCUCAAGUGUGUGGCUGCAGACUCCAGUCUUUUAGACAUUUGAAUGGCAGGAGGCAGACCGAGCAGUUACCCAGUGAAACCCGACCUUCAAGCCGAAGACAGUUUAAAGCCGACCUACAAGUCCCAGUGUAUCAUCAUUCUUCUUGGACGUGGGACAAGAGCUCAGGAUGCACCAAAUGUGAAUACAGAGAAGGCUGUAACUCCAUAACCCU